ACGAACGCUGGCGGCGUGGAUAAGACAUGCAAGUCGAACGAGAGAAUUGCUAGCUUGCUAAUAAUUCUCUAGUGGCGCACGGGUGAGUAACACGUGAGUAACCUGCCCCCGAGAGCGGGAUAGCCCUGGGAAACUGGGAUUAAUACCGCAUAGUAUCGAAAGAUUAAAGCAGCAAUGCGCUUGGGGAUGGGCUCGCGGCCUAUUAGUUAGUUGGUGAGGUAACGGCUCACCAAGGCGAUGACGGGUAGCCGGUCUGAGAGGAUGUCCGGCCACACUGGAACUGAGACACGGUCCAGACACCUACGGGUGGCAGCAGUCGAGAAUCAUUCACAAUGGGGGAAACCCUGAUGGUGCGACGCCGCGUGGGGGAAUGAAGGUCUUCGGAUUGUAAACCCCUGUCAUGUGGGAGCAAAUUAAAAAGAUAGUACCACAAGAGGAAGAGACGGCUAACUCUGUGCCAGCAGCCGCGGUAAUACAGAGGUCUCAAGCGUUGUUCGGAAUCACUGGGCGUAAAGCGUGCGUAGGCUGUUUCGUAAGUCGUGUGUGAAAGGCGCGGGCUCAACCCGCGGACGGCACAUGAUACUGCGAGACUAGAGUAAUGGAGGGGGAACCGGAAUUCUCGGUGUAGCAGUGAAAUGCGUAGAUAUCGAGAGGAACACUCGUGGCGAAGGCGGGUUCCUGGACAUUAACUGACGCUGAGGCACGAAGGCCAGGGGAGCGAAAGGGAUUAGAUACCCCUGUAGUCCUGGCAGUAAACGGUGCACGCUUGGUGUGCGGGGAAUCGACCCCCUGCGUGCCGGAGCUAACGCGUUAAGCGUGCCGCCUGGGGAGUACGGUCGCAAGAUUAAAACUCAAAGAAAUUGACGGGGACCCGCACAAGCGGUGGAGUAUGUGGCUUAAUUCGAUGCAACGCGAAGAACCUUACCUGGGCUUGACAUGUAAUGAACAACAUGUGAAAGCAUGCGACUCUUCGGAGGCGUUACACAGGUGCUGCAUGGCCGUCGUCAGCUCGUGUCGUGAGAUGUUUGGUUAAGUCCAGCAACGAGCGCAACCCCUGUUGCCAGUUACCAGCACGUGUAGGUGGGGACUCUGGCGAGACUGCCCAGAUCAACUGGGAGGAAGGUGGGGACGACGUCAGGUCAGUAUGGCCCUUAUGCCCAGGGCUGCACACGUACUACAAUGCCCAGUACAGAGGGGGCCGAAGCCGCGAGGCGGAGGAAAUCCUAAAAACUGGGCCCAGUUCGGACUGUAGGCUGCAACCCGCCUACACGAAGCCGGAAUCGCUAGUAAUGGCGCAUCAGCUACGGCGCCGUGAAUACGUUCCCGGGUCUUGUACACACCGCCCGUCACAUCAUGGAAGCCGGUCGCACCCGAAGUAUCUGAAGCCAACCGCAAGGAGGCAGGGUCCUAAGGUGAGACUGGUAACUGGGAUG
rnacentral:rRNA from 1 species